UUAAGCGACUAAGCGUACACGGUGGAUGCCCUGGCAGUCAGAGGCGAUGAAGGACGUGCUAAUCUGCGAAAAGCGUCGGUAAGGUGAUAUGAACCGUUAUAACCGGCGAUGUCCGAAUGGGGAAACCCAGUGCAAUUCGUUGCACUAUCGUUAACUGAAUACAUAGGUUAACGAGGCGAACCGGGGGAACUGAAACAUCUAAGUACCCCGAGGAAAAGAAAUCAACCGAGAUUCCCCCAGUAGCGGCGAGCGAACGGGGAGCAGCCCAGAGUCUGAAUCAGCUUGUGUGUUAGUGGAACGGUCUGGAAAGUCCGACGGUACAGGGUGAUAGUCCCGUACACCAAAAUGCACAGGUUGUGAACUCGAAGAGUAGGGCGGGACACGUGGUAUCCUGUCUGAAUAUGGGGGGACCAUCCUCCAAGGCUAAAUACUCCUGACUGACCGAUAGUGAACCAGUACCGUGAGGGAAAGGCGAAAAGAACCCCGGCGAGGGGAGUGAAAAAGAACCUGAAACCGUGUACGUACAAGCAGUGGGAGCACCUUCGGGUGUGACUGCGUACCUUUUGUAUAAUGGGUCAGCGACUUAUAUUCUGUAGCAAGGUUAACCGUAUAGGGGAGCCGCAGGGAAACCGAGUCUUAACUGGGCGUUAAGUUGCAGGGUAUAGACCCGAAACCCGGUGAUCUAGCCAUGGGCAGGUUGAAGGUUGGGUAACACUAACUGGAGGACCGAACCGACUAAUGUUGAAAAAUUAGCGGAUGACUUGUGGCUGGGGGUGAAAGGCCAAUCAAACCGGGAGAUAGCUGGUUCUCCCCGAAAGCUAUUUAGGUAGCGCCUCGUGAAUUCAUCUUCGGGGGUAGAGCACUGUUUCGGCUAGGGGGUCAUCCCGACUUACCAACCCGAUGCAAACUACGAAUACCGAAGAAUGUUAUCACGGGAGACACACGGCGGGUGCUAACGUCCGUCGUGAAGAGGGAAACAACCCAGACCGCCAGCUAAGGUCCCAAAGUCAUGGUUAAGUGGGAAACGAUGUGGGAAGGCACAGACAGCCAGGAUGUUGGCUUAGAAGCAGCCAUCAUUUAAAGAAAGCGUAAUAGCUCACUGGUCGAGUCGGCCUGCGCGGAAGAUGUAACGGGGCUAAACCAUGCACCGAAGCUGCGGCAGCGACACUAUGUGUUGUUGGGUAGGGGAGCGUUCUGUAAGCCUGCGAAGGUGUGCUGUGAGGCAUGCUGGAGGUAUCAGAAGUGCGAAUGCUGACAUAAGUAACGAUAAAGCGGGUGAAAAGCCCGCUCGCCGGAAGACCAAGGGUUCCUGUCCAACGUUAAUCGGGGCAGGGUGAGUCGACCCCUAAGGCGAGGCCGAAAGGCGUAGUCGAUGGGAAACAGGUUAAUAUUCCUGUACUUGGUGUUACUGCGAAGGGGGGGACGGAGAAGGCUAUGUUAGCCGGGCGACGGUUGUCCCGGUUUAAGCAUGUAGGCUGGUUGUCCAGGCAAAUCCGGAUAAUCAAGGCUGAGGUGUGAUGACGAGGCACUACGGUGCUGAAGUAACAAAUGCCCUGCUUCCAGGAAAAGCCUCUAAGCAUCAGGUAACAUCAAAUCGUACCCCAAACCGACCACAGGUGGUCAGGUAGAGAAUACCAAGGCGCUUGAGAGAACUCGGGUGAAGGAACUAGGCAAAAUGGUGCCGUAACUUCGGGAGAAGGCACGCUGGUGUGUAGGUGAAGCCCCUGCGGGUGGAGCUGAGACCAGUCGAAGAUACCAGCUGGCUGCAACUGUUUAUUAAAAACACAGCACUGUGCAAACACGAAAGUGGACGUAUACGGUGUGACGCCUGCCCGGUGCCGGAAGGUUAAUUGAUGGGGUUAUCCGUAAGGAGAAGCUCUUGAUCGAAGCCCCGGUAAACGGCGGCCGUAACUAUAACGGUCCUAAGGUAGCGAAAUUCCUUGUCGGGUAAGUUCCGACCUGCACGAAUGGCGUAAUGAUGGCCAGGCUGUCUCCACCCGAGACUCAGUGAAAUUGAACUCGCUGUGAAGAUGCAGUGUACCCGCGGCAAGACGGAAAGACCCCGUGAACCUUUACUAUAGCUUGACACUGAACAUUGAGCCUUGAUGUGUAGGAUAGGUGGGAGGCUUUGAAGCGUGGACGCCAGUCUGCGUGGAGCCAACCUUGAAAUACCACCCUUUAAUGUUUGAUGUUCUAACGUUGGCCCCUGACCGGGGUUGCGGACAGUGUCUGGUGGGUAGUUUGACUGGGGCGGUCUCCUCCCAAAGCGUAACGGAGGAGCACGAAGGUUAGCUAAUCCUGGUCGGACAUCAGGAGGUUAGUGCAAUGGCAUAAGCUAGCUUGACUGCGAGCGUGACGGCGCGAGCAGGUGCGAAAGCAGGUCAUAGUGAUCCGGUGGUUCUGAAUGGAAGGGCCAUCGCUCAACGGAUAAAAGGUACUCCGGGGAUAACAGGCUGAUACCGCCCAAGAGUUCAUAUCGACGGCGGUGUUUGGCACCUCGAUGUCGGCUCAUCACAUCCUGGGGCUGAAGUAGGUCCCAAGGGUAUGGCUGUUCGCCAUUUAAAGUGGUACGCGAGCUGGGUUUAGAACGUCGUGAGACAGUUCGGUCCCUAUCUGCCGUGGGCGCUGGAGAAUUGAGGGGGGCUGCUCCUAGUACGAGAGGACCGGAGUGGACGCAUCACUGGUGUUCGGGUUGUCAUGCCAAUGGCACUGCCCGGUAGCUAAAUGCGGAAGAGAUAAGUGCUGAAAGCAUCUAAGCACGAAACUUGCCCCGAGAUGAGUUCUCCCUGAGACUUUAAGUCUCCUGAAGGAACGUUAAAGACGAUGACGUUGAUAGGCCGGGUGUGUAAGCGCAGCGAUGCGUUGAGCUAACCGGUACUAAUGAACCGUGAGGCUUAACCUU
rnacentral:rRNA from 1 species